GCCCAACUAAAAUAGUGCGUAAAAGCAUAUACAUUUCUUGUUUCGUUAUCAGUACAGUUUAAUAACACGACAACGACGCCACAAAACAUUUAAAAUGUCUGACAAGGAGGUCAAAAGUGGUCUUCGUAAAUUUUUUACCGUUGUAACGUCCCCUAUUUGGGUACCAGUAGCAGCCGUUGGAGGCCUGGUUGCUGCACCAUUCCAGGCGGCAGGUGAUUCCAUAGAUGAGGGUUUGGACACUGACAGCGCUGCAAAAGGUGUUGGCUCACUGCCAGGAAAUUUUGUCGGAAGGGUGGUUACCAACCCGUUCAAAGCCAUCGGGAAAGUUGGCGAGGCGAUGUGGGAGGAUGGCGACAAAAAAUAAAAGGUGGUGCGCGCUGAUGGACAAUAGACAUUUGGUGGAAUAAAAGAACUAGUAACAAUACCAAGGCGCAGACAAUAUCUUCCACAAUUCAAGACAGAAACAUUGACGUUUAAAUAUUUGAAAUAUAUAUUUCUGCUAGAAUAACAUUGAACACUUAAAAAUACUACAAAUAUGAUGUUUAAAUUACUAAAUCCGAAACAAAUAAAUAAUUCUAUCUGAU